UACAGGGGGGGCAAGCGUUGUCCGGAAUUAUUGGGCGUAAAGAGCUCGUAGGCGGUCUGUCGCGUCUGUUGUGAAAACUCGAGGCUCAACCUCGGGCUUGCAGUGGAUACGGGCAGACUAGAGUGCGGUAGGGGAGACUGGAAUUCCUGGUGUAGCGGUGGAAUGCGCAGAUAUCAGGAGGAACACCGAUGGCGAAGGCAGGUCUCUGGGCCGCAACUGACGCUGAGGAGCGAAAGCAUGGGGAGCGAACAGG
rnacentral:rRNA from 1 species